UAAAGAUCCGUCGGAUGAGGAUAGGCUCGCGUGACAUUAGCUUGACGGCGGGGUAACGGCCCACCGUGGCGACGAUGUCUAGGGGUUCUGAGAGGAAGGUCCCCCACACUGGAACUGAGACACGGUCCAGACUCCUACGGGAGGCAGCAGUGAGGAAUAUUGGUCAAUGGCCGGAAGGCUGAACCAGCCAUGCCGCGUGAAGGUCAGUGCCCUAUGGGCGUUAAACUUCUUUUGUGCGGGAGCAAUAAGGUCCACGUGUGGACCGACGAGAGUACCGUACGAAUAAGCAUCGGCUAACUCCGUGCCAGCAGCCGCGGUAAUACGGGGGAUGCAAGCGUUAUCCGGAUUUAUUGGGUUUAAAGGGUGCGUAGGCUGUGAGGUAAGUCAGCGGUGAAAUGCCCCCGCUCAACGGGGUGAAGUGCCAUUGAUACUGCCUUGCUGGAAUGCGGAUGCCGUGGGAGGAAUGUGUGGUGUAGCGGUGAAAUGCAUAGAUAUCACACAGAACACCGAUUGCGAAGGCAUCUCACGAAUCCGCUAUUGACGCUGAUGCACGAAAGCGUGGGUAUCAAACAGGAUUAGAUACCCUGGUAGUCCACGCUGUAAACGAUGAUGACUAACCGUCGGCGAUACACAGUCG
rnacentral:rRNA from 1 species